rnacentral:tRNA from 3 species
UAGCGGUGUUAGGGCACUAAGAAUUUUGAUUUCUUAAGAGAGGUUCAGCGCCUCCUGA